rnacentral:rRNA from 1 species
CACCACGAAAGUUGAUUGUACCAGAAGUCGCUGAGCUAACCUUGAGCAAUCGGGGAGGCAGGCGCCUAAGGUAUGAUCAAUGAUUGGGGUG